rnacentral:rRNA from 1 species
CGCGGCCUAUCAGCUUGUUGGUGAGGUAACGGCUCACCAAGGCUUCGACGGGUAGCUGGUCUGAGAGGACGAUCAGCCACACUGGGACUGAGACACGGCCCAGACUCCUACGGGAGGCAGCAGUGGGGAAUCUUGCACAAUGGGCGAAAGCCUGAUGCAGCAACGCCGCGUGAGAGACGAAGGCUUUCUGAGUUGUAAACCUCUUUCAGCAGGGACGAUUGUGACGGUACCUGCAGAAGAAGCCCCGGCCAACUACGUGCCAGCAGCCGCGGUAAUACGUAGGGGGCAAGCGUUGUCCGGAUUUAUUGGGCGUAAAGAGCUCGUAGGCGGCUUGGCAAGUCGGAUGUGAAACCUCCAGGCUCAACCUGGAGUCGCCAUUCGAUACUGCCAUGGCUAGAGUUUGGUAGGGGACCACGGAAUUCCUGGUGUAGCGGUGAAAUGCGCAGAUAUCAGGAGGAAUACCAGCGGCGAAGGCGGUGGUCUGGGCCAAUACUGACGCUGAGGAGCGAAAGCGUGGGGAGCGAACAGGAUUAGAUACCCUGGUAGUCCACGCCGUAAACGUUGGGCACUAGGUGUGGGGACCUAUCGACGGUUUCUGUGCCGCAGCUAACGCAUUAAGUGCCCCGCCUGGGGAGUA